rnacentral:rRNA from 1 species
UACGUAGGGUGCGAGCGUUGUCCGGAUUUAUUGGGCGUAAAGAGCUCGUAGGUGGUUUGUCGCGUUGUUCGUGAAAUCUCACGGCUUAACUGUGAGCGUGCGGGCGAUACGGGCAGACUAGAGUACUGCAGGGGAGACUGGAAUUCCUGGUGUAGCGGUGGAAUGCGCAGAUAUCAGGAGGAACACCCGUGGCUAAGGCGGCUCUCUAGUACGGUACUGACGCUGAGACGCGAAAGCGUGGGGAGCGAACAGG